GGAAAUUCAGAAAAGGUAGUCAUUAAUUAUGGUUGAGGGCUUGAGAAAGUCUUAAUGGAAUAACAGUUGAGUUGGGCUUUGAAAAAUGGAUAGAUUUUAACAUGAAGAGGGAGAAGAGUUGAGUACCUGGUAGAGGAAAUCCCAGAUAAGGAAUGAGCGAUCAUGAAGAUGCUUGUCAUUUUGUGAAGUAGAUUAUAGUCCUAUGUGGUUGGACUUACAUACAGCCUUAUUAAAGGCCGUCUUUGGGGAAUGUGUAAAACCUUGCUUACAUACAAGGUCUCUCAUGGUGCUUUGUGUGUCAUACAUGCUAGAUAUUUACCAGGCAAACAAAUACACAUGAAAGAAUGUCACCAAGAGAAGGGGUGGAGGCUGAGUAUGCAGAAUAAUACUCAACCUCACUGUGUCUCAGUAUUUUCACCUAAAAACAAGAGAGUAAAAAGGUAAGACCCUUCAAACUACUUUUGGUUCUAAUAUUCUGUAACAACAAUUUCUAUAACUUAAUACCAAUCCUAAUUAGUUCCAGUUUAAGCAAGGAAAACAUGUAGAUAAUGUUUUGUUAAGAGUAAAUGAAUUUGGUUGUCUAUCUGCCAUAGGGAAAGAAAGUGAAAUGUAGUCUUGAAAAAUGCUGUUGGUCAGCACAAAAAUAAUCUGUUGGUCAGAACAAAGAGAAUCAGGUUGAUCCAUUACAGGGCUAUUAUUUUAUAACCUAUUCAAAGUUGCUGCUAUUCUGGGCUUAAAAAAAGAGACACUGCUUAGCACUUCCCUUUUAAGAUUCCAGUUUUCAAGAGCUUUCUCUGUAUGGAGGCUUCAGUUUCUAAAAAUAAACAAAAUAGGAAGAUUUCUCCUUGGAGGAAACAUUUAGCAACAACCACAAAAGUUCAAAAGGGAAAUUCAUUGUCCAACAAGAGGAAGGAGAAAAAUCUAGCUUCCUUCCAUUUAAAAAAAAUUAUUUUACUUGCUGAGUUUUCUAAAAGUUCCUUAGAUUAAGAAGGAAAAUGGGAAAGUCAAGAAUAUUACAGUUUGUAUUUGAAAGGAGUGAACAACCAACCAUCACUGCAUCAUUUAAGAAUAUAUUUUUUAAAAAGCAUAAAAGAUACAAGCAAUUAUGGCUCAUUUUUAUGUUGUCCACAAUGCAUUUAUUCAUUGAUUCAUUCCUUUAUCUAUUAAAUAUUUGUUGAGCACCUAAUGUGUGUCAGAUGCUGUGCCAGGCACUGAGCUGGAGAUGUGACUUGACUAGUAGCUCCGUAGUGGUCCCUCAGCAUGGUAACCUCAGUCUUUUAUUCUAUGUGGUAUAUAUUGUGGACUGGCUAAUUCCAUUUGUAGUUCAUCACUCUUCUAGUAUGUUUUUCUCUACUCAGAGUUUGGAAAGGUGAAGAUUUCAUUUCCCAAGACAGAUUUUUCCAGUUUGGUAUACUUGCAUGAGAUCUGGGAUGCAAAAUUGAAGUGGAGCCUAUUUUCCUGACUUUUGCCUGAUUUCAUUGGCAAACAAAGUCAUGAACUGUGAAGUUUUCUGGUAGCAAUGUUAUUGUGUCUAUUCUCCAGCUCCUUGUGGAGAGGAAGCUGAAGGCCAUGUUCAGCUUCUUGAUUCCCACUUCCUAAUUUCUUUAUUACAGCUAUGACCAUGUGUUCUCGAACCCAAUUGCUCCAGUGGUGGCCUCAGAGGAAUAGUGACUUGAUUCUAAGGAGUAGAUCUAGGAUUCAUUUCUAGAGACCAAGCUCUGUCAGGGAUUUUCUUAACAACAACUGUACUUCUAUUUUCAGCCUGUUUAUAUGCUGAGGUCUAGACCUGCCUAGUGAUACCUGGGCUCCAAUUCAAGUUGAGAUUUGGGUGGGGACACAGCCAAACCAUAUCAGAAGCCAAGUUUUUUAUUGUAAGUAAAGGGAUUUAUAAAUAUGGAAAGGGAGAAACAGGAAUGAAACCUGCAAUGUUGCAAGCGAUCCUCCCGCUUCAGCCUUCCAAGUAGCUGGGACUUCAGGUAUGUGCCACCGCACUUGGGUAAUUAAAAAAUUUUUUUAGAAGUGGGUUUUUGUUAUGUUGCCCAGGCUGGUCUUGAACUUCUUCUUUCUUCUCAUUAUCUUCAUUGUCCAGCAUAAAAAUAUGGAAACUUGGGAGAAGAGUAUGGAGGGAAGAGGAGAAGUUUUGAGAGAAACUAGUAAUAUUUGCAUGUUAAGAAAUAUCAUCCCUACCAUAUGUAUUAGUAAAUUUCCAUUAUUUUUCCUAAACUGAUGUGAGUUGGUUCCUACCAUUUCUAAAAAGGGAUCUUAAGUGGUAGAGUUAGAGCUACUCUUCAGGUAUAGUGAACUGGGAAGACAGUCCUUCACCCAGGACUUUUCAGGUAUCUGAGUAAUGAAACAGGGAGGCAGAAGAUGGGGAAAAAAAGUUAAGGGGAUGGUUCUCUUAGCUCAUACUGAAGAAUACCCCCUAAUUUAUUCUCUACUUAAUGGCCAGAGAGAUCUUUUUUUUUUUCUCCAGACAGAGUUUCAUUCUUGUCGCCCAGCCCGGAGUACAAUGGUACAAUCCUGGCUCACUGCAACCUUCGCCUCCUGAAUUCAAGUGAUCCUCCUGCCUCAGCUUCCCACGUAGCUGAGAUUCCAGGCACAUGACACCACGCCUGGCUAAUUUUGUAUUUUUAGUAG
rnacentral:lncRNA from 1 species